UACGUAGGGGGCAAGCGUUGUCCGGAAUUAUUGGGCGUAAAGAGCGUGUAGGCGGUCCGGUAAGUCAGCUGUGAAAGUCAAGGGCUCAACCCUUGAAUGCCGGUUGAUACUGUCGGGCUAGAGUCCGGAAGAGGCGAGUGGAAUUCCUGGUGUAGCGGUGAAAUGCGCAGAUAUCAGGAGGAACACCAAUGGCGAAGGCAGCACUCUGGGACGUGACUGACGCUGAGACGCGAAAGCGUGGGGAGCAAACAGG
rnacentral:rRNA from 1 species